GACGAACCGUGCGAACGUUGUUCGGAAUCACUGGGCUUAAAGGGCGCGUAGGCGGAUUUGCAAGUCUGCGGUGAAAGCCUCCAGCUUAACUGGAGAAGUGCCGUGGAUACUGCGGAUCUCGAGGAGGGUAGGGGCAUCUGGAACGUUGGGUGGAGCGGUGAAAUGCGUUGAUAUCCAACGGAACUCCGGUGGCGAAGGCGAGGUGCUGGACCCUUUCUGACGCUGAUGCGCGAAAGCCAGGGGAGCGAACGGG
rnacentral:rRNA from 1 species